UCGAACUCAGACACUAUGGUUCGCGCCUCGUUCGCGCGCGCAUUGUGAGCAUUCAAGUUUCGUUUUUUGCACUUGCUUAGUAGCUGAAAUUGCGGACAUUGCAGGGUUGGGCUUGAUGACAUUUGUUGCUCAGCUGCCGCGACACAUUUGGAGCAAAGCUUCUGCUUAUUUCCUUUGGCCGCACCUUAUAUUUGUUGUCUUUGUCAACAUCUGACCUGUUUCUGCCUUGUUGAAAGCAAGUGGCCACAAGUACUGCUUAGUUUGCUCAGUCUAAACCUGGAAGUGCAUCCAGUUUAGCGCCGUGUACAUGUGUACGGACGCGUGCACGGACGUAACGCUGCUGCCCAUCGCGAGUCGUAAGCGAAAAAAAAAGGCCGACUGAAAAAAAACAACAAGAAAUAAGCUGCACGAUCAACAGAUUUUUGAAGAGACCGUUUCAACAGAGAUAUCUGAAGCAGAUCGUUAUUGGAUAUGAAGAAAUGUGCAGUGGAUAACAGCAAAACAUGUGGUAACCGACUGACUGACGGUAGUAAGGCUCACAGCCUAAGUUUUUCACUAUUUACACUGAUAAUGUAGCAUGUAUUUGCGCAAUUAAAUCACCUGCUAUGCGCAGCAACCGCACUCAAUUGAAGCCGCCAACGCAGCGAUGCACCAUUUGCUGUUUCAGGAUCACGAAAAACAAUGUAUUCACCGAAGUACAGCGGCGGUUGACCUGUCGGCAAGCUGUUAAUUCACAUAUGGCGAAAGCAAAUGUCACGGAGUCCAAGCCCACGAAACUGCGCUCGCAAGAAUAUCGCGCACGCUUGGGCCUUUCCGACAUGCACAAUAGCGCACGCAGAGCGUGGUGCAGCCGACACCCGACAUUCGUGACUGAUCUACGUUCGAGAGUAGCUAUUUCAAAAAGCAAACAAAAAAAAAAGAAACAAUGUGACGUCGCAUCCGGCAAAGGAGAGUUGUUCUACUUUCUCACCUUCUCUCAGCUCAGGCAUGCGCAGCGACCACGGAGCCCUCGGGGGGCGACGUUCAGGUUAUACGAACGUCCGUGAAAGCAUUGCUUUCGAGCAAACCUUUUCAAAUUAAGUUUUCGCUCAUGUCCACGAGAUAGCAAAUUUCAGGGUUACAUUAGCCGCUAUAUUUUCCAAUUUCAUGUCACCUAGCUACCUCAGGUUGCAUUUACGCGCCGAGGCUUUUAACAAAAAUAGUUGUCAGCUGAAGAUCAAAGCGGUGUGCCACUAUUUGGAUGUUGUGAUAUUUGUGAAAUUGAUUAUAUUUUUCCCCUAGUCAUGCUAAACUACUUACCGGUCACAUGCUUGGACUUCUGAAGGAGCACUUGAAAGGUUUUCCUUCCAACCCAGUAUUGUAACUGACGCCUGUCAGAGGUAUGAGAGUGGUAUUUGCCCUGCAGCACUGCCAUGAGUUCAAGAUCCAGAUGUGUCUCAUGUAAUAACUGUGCUCGCCGACUGUCUCUAUCUGUAUGUCACUAGAAAGUACAAAGGAUACAUUUCUGAAUUGUUGCAACAUUUAUUUUUCGUUAAAUGCUCAAAAUAUUUUUUUCUUUUCCUGAUCAAUAAGGACUUGCACAGAUUGCAGAUUUGCAUAGUUUGAAAAAAGUAUUGCAUAGUGGGCCUGUAGGUUUUUUUGAAUUUAUUGUUACCCUUCAGACUGGCCAAAUAUGUUGACAGCAACAGCGAAUACCUCCUUGCUGUAUUUGCAUUUCCUUGGAAUGUCUGUUCCGUGUUCUUCAUAACAGUACAUGGUGCCAUUUAGUUUUCUACCGUGUCGAAUUGUGCACUGACACUUUCAAGUGAGCAAGUGUAGGUUUGUAUUGCAACGGAAAUAACAACAUGAGUGCUUCUUCAAUUGCCUUCCAUCACCGCCUUGCUAGUGCCUUCUUCAAUGUGCAAGAAUGGCUUGUAACAAUAUUGUUAAGUGUUUCAUGUGAGGAUAUGGAAUACAAUAAUUUUCUCUUUUUCUCUGAACAUAUUCAGCCGGAAAAACAUGUUGACAGCUAUGCCUUUUUCAUGUUGGCCAUAGCAUUUUGUAGAUAAUGGUGUGACAGCUUGGGAAGUGUCUGAAGAGUAUUGUUAGUUGGUGCAUAAUCAUAUUGUUGCUACUGGGAGGAUCACAGGCACUUUUUUUUUCAUACUAUUAACAUGUUUCCAUUUUUCUUUUUGUGGCUCAAUCAAGUAGACCUGGUCACUUUUUUAGUUUGUCAUUUACUUUUGUUACACAUCAGUAUUAUAUACUAUCAAUUAAGUUGGGAUAUGAAGCCAUUUGAUGUUGCAUUCAUGGAGAAUCCUGGCCAAUCCCUCGUCAUGGGUGUGCCAUAUUUCAUAGGCAACACUCAUUAUAUAGUCUCUCUUCUUGUGGUAAGAGUGUAUCCCAAAGCCUGUUUUGGAUGCUUGCAGAGCAGUUGAGAUUUAGACAUCAAUGCCAGCUCACAAAGCACCUCAUACGGUAAUCAGCCAGCCGCCUCCGCAGAUGGGGAAUUCUGCAGUUUGCAAUCGUACUGUUUCGGUUGUCCUUGGCAGAGAUUUCAAUUGUACACAGUGGGAAUAUAUUGUAGGACCAUAUAAAAAUAAUGCGAUGACAAUGGCCAUGUGGCUUAAAUUAUAGUAGAUUACGACCAGCAUUAGCUCAAGCGCUGCUAAAGGUGUGUGGUAUGUAAAAAUUAAUAAAGUGCUGGUUUUAAAUUAAAGUGCAGCCUAGCAGGUUUCGAGAACUUUUACUCUGGCAGAAUGACAAAAUAAAAUUAUUUGAAAUCAGUGAUGCCACGCUGAUGAGGCUUGGGCAUGAAUAUCCUCUAGCCAAAUUCACAAGGAUCUUGAAUGAAUUCUUCACUAGGCUCAACAGUUUUGUUGUUUCCCUAUAUUGUUUCUAUAGGAACAGUGCACAACAAAAAUGUUGCGGCUUCCUGUUGUCUUAACACCCUAGAAUUGCCUUAGAUCCAUGGUUCUCAGCCAUGGAUGUGUCGGUGACCCCUUGUGGAUUGGUGGAAGUGAUGGGGACCACUUGCAAUGACGGGAGAGGGGGGUAUAAACUAACACAAUAUUAGGCGUGAAACAGGUGCCUUUUAUUGCUACUUUGCAAAGAAUGGUCAAACAAAAGUGCCACUUCAACUCAGUCUGGACAGCUUGUCAAUACAUGAUGCAGUCACGCUUAAGCAGAGUCACAUAUCUGCAGCCACAUUCAACCUGUUUCUGUAUUUGCUUUUCAAGUAUGCAAGCAUGGAAAAAGCAUGCUUGCAUGCAUAUGAUAUAAAACUGCAACAAAAGCUUUACAGCCAUCUUAUGUAGAAGGGAAAACAUUUCUGCAGUCCCCAACCAGAAUGCCUCAAGACUUGCAGUGGCCACAAAAAAAAAAAAAAGAAAAA